UAGGGAGGUCAGGGCCAGGAGCUCCCCCCUGAGCCCAAGGUAACUCUAACUGUGGGGGAGCG
rfam:Dipodomys ordii contig_59447, whole genome shotgun sequence.